AACAAGUCUGUUUUGGAUAUAUCCACAGAGCAGCUGCUGUAUAUAGUAAUGGAGAUUGUUAACUGUUUUGACCAACAAUGACCGACAAAAGUGGACCACCGCUGCCACCUCCAGCUGUUCCCACAGGGAAAUCAGUCGACAAAAGGAAGAGUAUUUUAGAAAAAGCCACUACGAAGAGACACCUUGAUGCAACAAGAGGCAAAACACGAGUCAACAUCGGCUCUGCUUUCGAGCGAUGGAGGAGUCUGAUGAAGCUUCAUCCAGAGCUAAAAAGGGACGAGAUGGUCGCGGAGUUUCUGCUGGACAGUUACAAAAAAACAACUUCGACUCCAGUAAAGCCUGGAUUCAUAAGGCCUCCUCCACCACCAUUAUCAACCAUUGCGGAAUCUCUUUCUGAACGAGGAGGAUUUCUUUGUUCCUGGAGUGGAGGAUUUGGGCAGCUGCUCUGCUGAGGACACCUCAUUUCUCCCAUUAUAUGCAAGCAUUACAUCAGCAGAUCAAAGACUGUGUGGCAUCAAUGAGGACAAAUUCAAUGAUAUUACAAACUCUAUCAUUGAAUACGACGAGGACGAGGACGACCCCUCUUGGCAUCCGGACAUGGAGACGCAAUCAGUGUCGCUGUCAGAAGAGGAUGACACUUUAGAGGAAGACUCUGACUAUGAUGACAGCAAUGAUCCAGAUUACUUACCUCGUCUUUGUGUGCGGAAAGGCAGAGUUCUAAAUACUGACUUCAGCCUUGAAGAAUGUCCAUCAAUCACCACUGAAGACACUGUGCACGAUGCAGGAGACGACACAGAUCAAGAACAUCAUGAAGAUCUCUCUGAACCGGAGCAGGAGCAAGAGACACAACCCCCUCCGCAAAAAAAGAGAAGUCGUCACCCAAAUAGAGCUGAGAUCACAGUUGAAGUCGAAGAAGAUAUAAUUGGCAAACCUGCUUCUAUUGUUAUCAUCACUGUCUGAAGCAGCUUUGUGAUUAUGUCGCAGUACCAGUGGAUAUGUGUAAAGCGAAGGACCCCAGCACCAAAAAACAGUGUCAGGCACGAGGACCUUUUGAGAUUCACAUCAAGUCAAGGGUCACAGCUGCCAUUAUUGAAUGGCUGUGUCCUCAAGGUCAUGUCGUAUGGCGGUGGUCUUCCCAACAACCUUUAAAAUUCAGUUAGGGGACUUUCUAAUAGCCUCCAAUAUUUUGCUCUCAAGCAACAACUACACAGAAGUGAAACUGCUUUUCCAAUUUAUGAAUAUGGGGAUGAUCAGUGAAAGACACUUUGCUGACAUAGUGUGGACACUAUAAAGACAUUCUGGAAUGCGAAGAGAGCCAAAGUUAUUGCCGAUGUGAAGACAUUAGGACCAACUGUCGCAGUCGGUUUGUUUCACCCACCCACACACACACACACAGACACUUAUACACACACCCAUAGUCUACAAAGAACAUACAACAAUCUGUGGCACAUUAUACAAGGCUCCUUGAUAAAGACACAUCCGAAUUUUUUAUGCAUGUUCUGGCACCACCAAGUUAUUAAGUGUAUUAUAGCCUAUUUGUCUUUUGUCUUUUAUAUUUUAAGGAGAUGCGAGGAUGGACAGUCCUGGAUUCUGUGCGCAAUACUGUACGUACACUGCCAUGGAAAACGCGACAAAGAAAAUCGUCAACGUGGUGAUUAUGGACAAGCGUGAGACAUCGAGGAAGUCUGUCAACUUGGAGAAGGAGGCCUUUAUGAAGACAUUAGAAACCCUGAUGCAAGACCUCAAUGUCAUCAAGUUCUGCGCUGAUGCACACAGCCAAAUAUCAUCCCUAUUCAACAAAGACAAAGGACUAUACAAGGACAGCGGCAUCAAGCACACUCUGGACAUGUGGCACGGAGCCAAAAAUCUUGGCAAAAAAAUCCACACCAUAAGUUACUGCUAUUUAAAGAUUUUUUUUUAGAUUAGUUAGUUUAGUUUAUUUACUGAGGGGAAAUUCAAUGUUUUCACUCUUGCUUGUCAAUUACACACAGGUCUGAAAGACACACAUAUGCACAAACAGGACCUAUACAUGCACAAAGUGGAGAGAUGUCAGAGUGAGGGGGCUGCCCUUGGUGAGGCGCCCCGAGCGGUUGGGGUAUUCGCAGUAGGCAGUGCCCAGGAGGUGAACUGGCACCUCUCCAGCCACCAGUCUACGCUCCAUAUUUUGGUCCGGACGGGGACUCGAACAGGCGACCCUCUGGUUCCCAACCCAAGUCCCUAUGGACUGAGCCACUGCCGCCCCACUGAAAUGUCGUAUUUGUUAGUUCACCCUUGAAGUAGAAUCAAUGUCUGUUUUUCUAUUUCCAGGCCAGCCUCCAAAAAGGCUGCUCGCUACUGCUUGUCUGGAAGAAAGAUAUCUGCAAUCAUUUUUGGUACUGCUGUAAGGCGGCAAAUACAGUGGAGGAUUUCUGGGACAUGUGGACAGGACUGCUACAUCAUGUCACUGGGGAACACCAGUGGGGACUUGGCGCCUGUUACCAUGGCCCGUUAGAGGAAAAAACUAACAAGGAGCUGAUCCCGAAGGGAAGCAUUGCACACCGCAAACUUAUUGAACUGAUCAUGGAUGAGAGGUGGUCAAAGACAAUACCAAAGUACUUGACCUUUAGGUCCACUGCUCCCCUGGAAUCAUUUCAUGCUCACAUUCUGAUGUACGCACCAAAGCGAAACUCCUUCAUACCACCUGUGUAUGCAGCCAGAACACAGUUAGCUGCCCUGGACUACAAUGAACAUUGCAGCCGACCCUAUUAUGUAAAGGCAGAUGGCAAAUACAGUUACCACAAAAUGUACAACAAAAAAAGCGGUGGACUGGACACUGUUUGUACAUAAGGAGGGAAAAGAAGACCUAUGACUACAUCAAAGACCUCCAGCAUGCUAUCCUACGCACCAAGUUGGACCAGUUGGCAGAAGGGAGGGGUAUGCCCCGGAAAAGAACCCCCGCCGACUUGGGCCUCUCAGUGGUGUCCCUGCACCAUCAACAGAGGAACUCUUGGAGAGUCAGCGCAGCAGAGGUCGUGGUGAACCACUCCCGCAAUAAUGGAGGAGCCCUGCACCAACCAGGGCUUGUUCUGGCAUCAAACCUGCCGUCUUUUGUCUGGAAGGAGAACUCAGGAACCCCGGAUCUCAGGAAGAGCUGGAUGUGGUAUUUUAAAAACUGUUUUGCAUUCAUAUUCAGUAAGCUCUUCCUCAAUGUGCCUUAUGUUAUUUUUUUGUACUAUGCAACUCAUGUUGUUUGUUAUGGCUUACUGAAUGUUUGCACACAGUUCAUAAAACAUUAAAAAAAAAUUAUAAUAUAAUCAAAUUUGAUUUUAUCGAUUUUACUUAAGUUCAUACAGAGAAAGUGGGAAUAUGAAACUAAGGGGCAAUUAGUUGAAACAAAUUUAAAGACUGCACAUCCUGCUGGCAUCAAGGGAA